UUGUGCAGUCACUCCCAGCCACCGCCCAGCUCUCGGAGCAGCUGGGGGGAGAGCGCAGGCGCGGGUCGCUCUGUCCCGCCCUCCCCUGCUACGACAGCGGAAGCGGAAGCGCUGCUUCGGCUUAGCGUGGGGUUGCCGACGUUAUUAGAUCUCUGAGACAAUUCGUUGUACAAAGAAGCCAACUAUGGGCAUUAAAGGUCUUCAGGGAUUUGUGGCAAAUGUUUGCCAUGAUGUGCACAAAAUGGUAAAUCUGAAGGAAAUGGCAGAAGAACAUCGCAUGAGUUAUCCUGACUCUCCUCCCGUAAUUGUGGUAGAUGCCCUGAGUUGUAUACGACACUGGUAUACACCAGAAUCUUGGGUUUGUGGUGGCCAGUGGCAAGAGUACCUUGCUAAUUUAGAGGAUUUUAUUAAUGCUUUCACAGCAGCUGAUAUCAAGCUGGUAUUCUUCUUUGAUGGUGUUGUGGAGCAGAAAAAGAGAGGUGAAUGGGUUAAACGGAGGUUGAAGAAUAACAAGGAAAUAGGCAGAAUCUUUCAGUUCAUCAAGACGUACAGGCAGCAACCAGGGAGAGGGAUGUUCUUUAUUCCUUCUGGUUUGGCUACUUUCACACGCUUUGCCUUAAAGUCCCUUGGUCAGAAAACAAUAUGUUCGUUGCAAGAAGCAGACUAUGAAGUGGCCUCUUAUGGGCUGCAGCAUAAUUGCAUGGGGAUUCUUGGACAAGAUACAGACUACCUCAUCUAUAACACCUCUCCAUACUUCUCCAUUGAAAAGCUCUGCUUGGACAAGAUGGUCACUGUCAUGUAUUCCAGGGAGAACCUCUGCCGUGCACUAAAUCUUAAUAUAACAGACCUCCCUUUUUUUGCUUGUCUGCUUGGCAAUGAUGUAGUUCCAGAAGCUGCUUUGGAAGGUUUUUGGCAUAAAUGUUUAACCUCUUGUCCUCCUAAAAGCCAGAGCUAUGACAAAAGGUCUAACAUAAUUCUGGCUGUAGCAAACUACAUAUCAGGACUUCCACAUUCAUACAGUAGUGUGAAAAACUUUGAAGAGAUGCUACCUUUGGGAUCAGACAAGACAUUACUGUGCAAGGCAAUGGAGUCCUAUAUCCUGCCUGGUCAGCAGUCUCCCUGGCUUCCUCCCUCUCUAUCAAAUUCCCAGGCACUCUCAGCCAAGCAGGACACAGGCAUGUGCUCAGAUCAGGAGAUAUUUCAGUUAGCUAAAGAACAGCACAUCACAGGUGAAAAUUACAUGGUCUUUAAUAUCCUGAGCAAUGGAGAGGUUGAAUGCAGCAACACGUUGGAGGAUGAACUGGAUACAGAGCUACCUGGGCAGGCACUUAUUUACCGCCCUGCUCGUCAACAUAUUUAUUCUGUCCUGCUUGAACCUAGGAAAGAUACCCAGAGAGUCUGUUCUGUAGUAAAGGAAUGGUUUGUUUACUUUGGGAAUCCUCUUCACCAACCAGAACUGAUGCAACCAGUACAGCUUGACAUCCCAGGUGAAAUGCCUAGUUUGAGAACGCUCUGGCUUGGCAAAGGACCAGACAUAGAAAAUCAACGGUAUAGCACAUUUCUGGCAUGCUUUCAUCUUCAGGAUAUGGUGGAGGAGCUCAAGGCUCUGAAAGCACCUGUUGCAGCUGUCUGUUGCCUGUUGAUGUACCUCUUGCUGCAGGUAGACAGCCUUUCUCUAGAGGAUUUGAAUGCAUUUGUGGCUCAGACUCUGUGCCUGCAGGGGAUGUCGGCUGCUCAGCUAUCAGGUUUGCAGCUUGUGCAAGUGGACUCUAGAGCUGUACAGCUCGGCGCUCUCUUUAUUCGUGGUCUUGCAACUUUGAUUAUGGCGAAUAGUGCCUGUGGCUUUCCAUUCAGCAUGGAUGAUUUCAUGCCUUGGAAGGUGUUUGAUGGAAAGCUUUUUCAAGAGAAAUAUCAGCAGUCACACAGAGGGUGUUCUUUGGAAGAGCUUUUGGAAGGCAAUGGAUUUUUAUGUACGCAGUUCCAGAAUCUGAAGUUGCUCAUCUGCAAAGCUUGUAUGGCGAAGAACAGAACAAUUCAGAGCAGACAGCGGGGAGAUGGAUUUAUCGCAGAAAUGCAAGGAAGAGGAAGGAAUGCUAAUUUUCAGCAAGCGCACAGAACUUCAUUUGCUCCUCCAUACCGUAAUCAGAACAGGGGAUAUCAGUGGAGAGGGCUUCAGCCUUAUGGCUCUCAGACCCAACCUUCAGUGCAGGGGGAGUCCAGGAUCUUGAUCCCAGGCACCUCCUGCAUCAGUAGAGGAUACCAACCACGACAUCAAGACCAGAGGAGAAGAUUCCAGUUUACUCCACGGUAAAUAAUGGAAGUUCAGAGUGCAGAAGGAUGUCUGAAUAAGAUGAUACAAUAGAACUUAGAUAAUUUCUUGCUCCUCUGCAAAGAUGAUUUGUGGACGAUCUGGAGAUGGCCCAGAUGACUCUGUUGUGACUGGAUCUGAAUGAAAAUUGAUAAGACAAACUAUAUUUUGAUAAAGCACUGGACAUUAAACAUCAUAAAAAUCUUUUCAGUGUAUGUAUUGUACCAUUGUGAACAACCUGAAUACAUAUUUUAGGAGUGGUGGAGGGGAAGGGUUUAAUUACAGGCUUAUUUCCCUGCCUUCUCUCAGGUUGCCAAUAAUUUAUCAUUUUGUACCUCUGAUGGGUCUUUUUUCAUUGCUAAUUUAAUUGUCUAGAAAUACACGCUCUAUUAUGAAACAGUUACUGAAUUAUUUACCAAAUGGGAACUUUACAGAAGCUUUAGGUAGACAGUUAUGAAAUCUGUUUGUAAGGGGAAAUGCAUGCAGAAACAUUGUAACAACUAAGCAGAGAAACACUGUAGGCACUGUUACAUUGUGAAAGAAAUCUAAUUAACAUGCCUGGCUCCCUCAUUAAAGAGUAGCAAAGCCAUGAAAAACUAAAUAGCUCUUCCUAAACAAGUGUUGAUAAACCUUUAUGCUAUGCCAUGGUAUAUUCCAUAUGUGCCAUAUCUUUUACAAAAAAAGUAUUUUAGAAGUGUUUCAGAUAGCAUCAGUGUUUAAAAAACAAAACUUCCUUCUCCCCCUGCCCUUCCCCCCCCCCAUUUGUAUAUUUCUGCCUGUAAAGCUAGAUGACCUCAUUACGUGGAAGUUUCAGAGGAAGAGGAAAAAUGACUAAAAUGUUUUAAAAACCUGUCAAAAUAUUUGUUUUAUGCACAAAAGUAUAAGAGCUUUUAAGUCUUAUUAUUUCUGGGUCUUCCAAAGCUGCAUACAAGCACUGUCUGUUCCGUUAGGAAACCCAGAGUUUUCCUUUUGGCUCUAUAAUGGUCCCAUUUCCAAUCCUUUACAGUUUUAUAUAUCUGACUUUAAAUAUGUCAUCACUCUAGGACUACACAUGGCUCAUCCUAGGCCUCAGGCCAGAGUAAUUUUGGAAGAAAUCCCAAAUUAGGGGGAAAUGAGUAUUCCUCUUAAACAUUGAGAUUUUUUUAAUGGCAGCAGUUUGAAGCACAGUGGAUGAAAUUUUGUCUUUGUUGAAGUCAGGGUUAAACCUGCCAUUAACUUCAGGGGAGUCAAGGUAUCACCCCAUUUCAAUCACUAGCUGAUAGAAAUUUAUGGACAGAUGGACAGCCUGCAGGUGAACCGAAGGUAUAUCAUGACUUAAUUUAUUAGCCACAUAGUUUUCACUGCUGCAUGUGGUAUAUAUGCUUGCAUUUGAUAUGAUGUAUUUGAUUUGAUAUGAUGUAUUUGUACACUGUAGAUUAAGCAGUGUUCACAAAAAUUUGGCAUGAAGAAAAUAAGUUCUCUUGUAUCUUGUUUAAAGUGAUUUAUCUCUUUUUGUGGUUUUUUAUCAAGUGUAUUGCUGUUGCUACUGUACAGAUUUGAUAUAAUGGUCAUAGAUUAAAACAUGCUUGUUUUUAGUUCAUUCUAUUUCUAUUGUAGUUACUGCGGCUACCGUUGUUCCUUAGGCUUUGUACAUGUAUCCUCUUUUGAGCCAACUCUUCAUUAAACUUUUCCAUCCAGUA